GCCGAAGUGGUGAAAUUGGUAGACACGCCAUCUUGAGGGGGUGGUGAGCUAUGCUCGUGCGGGUUCAAAUCCCGCCUUCGGCACCA
rnacentral:tRNA from 1 species